AACUCAAAAGGGGUGGAACACAGGGAGGUGAAGGAAGUAAAAAAAAAAGUGGAGCGACCUACGGACGCAGGCCAUAGAGGACUACCCAAGGACCAAAAACUUCCCCACAGGUGGAGGCAAAAAGGCAGACAUUGGGCCAUAUUCCAACUUAGUCCUGGAUGUAACUGGGGAGGAUUCGCCUGCGGUAGUAGGUGUUGGUGGAGGUGCUGGAGGGAUUGAAAGCGGACUUAGCUACCAGCAAGUGACUCAAUCAAUCAGCAGGCCAGAGACAGCUCUAUCAGCCACCCAAAACACCCAGACAGCCAGAAGCCCAGAACCACCAGUCUACCAGCUCAACGUCGAAGAAGCAGUCGAAGCAGGACAGACCCACCCUCCCCAGGAAGGUGCCUCUACCCCUGCCCAUGCCACACCAAGACCACUGCAGCGGGUGGGCAAGAGAGCUUCCAGUUUUUCAAAGGAGGAUGACAUUGAUGCAUUGAGGGCAAAAGUUUUUAA